CAGUAGCCGCGGGAAUACAGAGGGUGCGAGCGUUAAUCGGAUUUACUGGGCGUAAAGCGUGCGUAGGCGGCUUCUUAAGUCGGAUGUGAAAUCCCUGAGCUUAACUUAGGAAUUGCAUUCGAUACUGGGAAGCUAGAGUAUGGGAGAGGAUGGUAGAAUUCCUGGUGUAGCGGUGAAAUGCGUAGAGAUCUGGAGGAAUACCGAUGGCGAAGGCAGCCAUCUGGCCUAAUACUGACGCUGAGGUACGAAAGCAUGGGGAGCAAACAGGAUUAGAUACCCGUGUAGUCCCUGUCUCUUAUAC
rnacentral:rRNA from 1 species